rnacentral:tRNA from 1 species
GCACUGGUAGUUCAGUGGUAGAAUUCUUGCCUUCUAUGCUGGAGACCUGGGUUCGAUUCCCAGCCAAUGCA